UCGCCUUGGGCCAGCACUACCUGGAGCAACACUCUACCACAGUCACUGUUUAAUUGUUAUCACCCACCACGAGCACUACUGCAUGCACCCGGACUGGUGACCAUGUAUUGUAUUAUUGUGGGGCGGAUAACGUGUCUUUAUAAUUUGGACUACAAUCCAUUUAUUAUUGGUGUGUAUUGCCAGAGGUUUAUUGUUUGGUCGCCAGACCGGGAGUUAUAAAUUAUUAUUAUUAUUAUUAUUAUUAUUAUUAUUAUUUAUUUCUUAGCAGAUGCCCUUACCCAGGGCGACUUACAGUCGUAAACAAAAAAUACAUUUCAAGAAUCACAGUACAAGUAUUAAUACAAUUAAGAGCAGGAUAAAAUACAAUGACUUCAGUUCUAGUAGUACAAGUAUAUGACAAAAUACGAUUCAAUAUCGGAGCAGUUAACAGUGUUAGUGAUAGUUACAUCAGGAUAUGAUUAAGUGCAAAAUACUACAGAUUGAAUAACACUUGUGGUAGAUUACAGUACAGUACUCUGUAAAGUACAGGAUUAAAUGCAGUAAAAUAGGGAGCAGAUAAGUGCAAGUAAAGCGCAUUAAGGAAGAGUGAUAAAGUGUCCAGAGGGAAAAGAGGAGUUCUACAGGUACUGCCUGAAGAGGUGAGUCUUGAGGAGGUGCCGGAAGGUGGUCAGGGACUGGGCAGUCCUGACAUCUGUAGGAAGGUCAUUCCACCACUGUGGGGCGGGGGUGGAAAAGGAGCAGGCUCUGGAGGCAGGGGAGCGUAGAGGAGGUACAGCCAGUCUUUUAGUGCAGGAGGAGCGGAGAGGUCGAGUUGGGGUGUAGGGAGAGAUGAAGGUCUGGAGGUAGCUGGGUGCAGUCUGGUCAAGGCAUCUGUAGGCGAGUACAAGAGUCUUGAACUGGAUGCGAGCGGUGAUCGGGAGCCAGUGGAGUGAGCGGAGCAGUGGAGUUGCAUGAAGAAGCGAGGCAGAGAGAACACCAGGCGAGCAGCGGAGUUCUGGAUGAGUGGUAGCGGACGGGUGGCGGACGCAGGGAGGCCAGCCAGGAGGGAGUUGCAGUAGUCUAGGCGGGAGAGUACCAGGGCCUGGACAAGGAGCUGGAUGUCAUAGUUGCAGGAAUAUUGUGCUUGAGCAUCUGUAUACUGUAACAAGAAACAUGAAGGUCAGCAACUACCUCAAGGAAAAUUGGUUUCGUAUUGCAAACAGUUUGGUCGACAGAUGUACCAUGGCAACAGUGAAACUAACAACCUGUCAGAAAGGUACAUAGACGAUUUGUGCCAAGAUGGAAGGAUUGCAAUUGGCAAUCCUGCAUUUGACAGUGACUCCUCUGCCAAAAAAAUGGACAAGGGAUUGGCACAGCUUUGCAGUGUGAAAGACAAUGGUGAAUGUGUUGUUCCUUCAGAACAUAGUGAGGGCAGAUUUUACCUUGUUAAUCUCACUUUCUUUACUUGUGACUGUCCCUUUGCUUUGCUUGGAAAUGUUUGUAAACACAUUGUCUUUGCUAAGAAAUUUUGGUGCACAGCAACGUGUUGAUGUAUUAGAUGUCCAUAAAACACAAAGUCAGUUAAUAAUUGAAAACGGAAAUUAGGGGCUCUCGAGUGGCGCAUCCAGUAAAGGCGCUCCACGUGGAGUGCAGGAUGCGCUCUAUAGUCUGGGCGUCGCGAGUUCGAGUCCAGGCUAUUCCUUUGCCGACUGAGGACGGGAGCUUCCAGGGGGCGGCGCUCAAUUGGCUGAAACAGGUUUCCCUUAAACAGGUUUCUAGUUGUUGGAAACAUCAACAUAAUUUUAUUGUAAAUAUUAAUGAUUUAAUUUCAACGUAGCCUCCAUGCUAGCCUCAAUCACUCAGAAAUGACACAGGACCAUUUUGUGAUGGCAAAUGGCAAUCAUGUACUUUUAUUGAUAAUAAAAUUACAGAAAGGUUCACUAUCCACGCAUCUCUACAGCUGACCUCAUUACGAAAACAUAUUAUUGGCAUUUUUUAAUUAUUGGUGACUAAAACGUACAGUACUGAUGCUAAUUAAAAAACAAUAAUA